AUGCUCAUUUUCUAUCUGUUCUUCUGUAGCUCCACGGCUUCAGUCUCCUUCACCUCUUCUGUCGGCAGGUCACUCGCUGAUAUGAAUUCUUCCACUUCAACUGGUUCAGUAUUCUUCAUUGCUUCUGGGUCUGGCUCUUGUGCUCGUGGAAUAUCAACUGUCGCCUUGGUUGCUAUUACAUGCUCUUCAGGAGCUGCCUCGUCUGCAGGAGCAACAUUGCUUGUCACAUCCUCAGUGAGCUCGCUGAUGUUUGCAUCAGGGCUCUCAUUGAUUGCUUCAGUUUCCUUCACCUCUUCUGCUUGCAUGUCACUUGCUGAUCUAUUUUCUUCCACCUCAACAGGUUCAGUAUUCUCGAUCUCUUCUAGUUCCGGCUCCUGUGCUUGUGGUAUGUCAACUGUUCUCUCAGUUACUGUUACCUGCUCUGCAUGA
rnacentral:rRNA from 1 species